UUGUUUGUGCGAAACGCGCUCCUGGGCUUAGGUGUCCGGGACGCGGGUCGUGCGAGGUCACUUUGAGUAAAUUAGAGUGUUUAAAGCAGGCGUGCGCUUUGCAUAUUUCAGCAUGGGAUGACACGAUAGGACUCCGUGUCCGUGCGUCGGUCUGCGGUGCGGGGUAAUGAUCGAUAGAGACGAUCGGGGGCGUUCCUAUUUCGUUGUCGGAGGUGAAAUUCUUGGAUUUACGAAAGAGGAUCAACUGCGAAAGCAUUCGCCAAGGGCGCUCUCGUUGAUCAAGAACGAAAGGUGGGGGAUCGAAGAUGAUUAGAUACCAUCCUAGUCUCAACCAUAAACUAUGCCAAUAGGGGAUCGGCGGGCGUCUUUACGUGUCCUCGUCGGCACCCUGUGUGAAAUCAUAAAUGUGAGGGCUCCGGGGGUAGUAUGGUCGCAAGGCUGAAACUUAAAGGAAUAGACGGAAGGGCACCACCAGGCGUGGAGCCUGCGGCUUAAUUUGACUCAACGCGGGGAAACUUACUAGGUCAGGACAUAGGAAGGAUUGACAGAUUGAUAGCUCUUUCUUGAUUCUAUGGGUGGUGGUGCAUGGCCAUUCUUAGUUCGUGGGUUAUCUUGUCUGGUUGACUCCGUUAACGAACGAGACCUCAGCCUGCUAAAUAGCGGCCUUCUCGCUUAGAGGAGUGCCCGCUUCUUAGAGGGACAGUCGGCGCAAGUCGACGGAAGUUUGAGGCAAUAAUAGGUCUGUGAUGCCCUUAGAUGUUCUAGGCCGCACGCGGGCUACACUGACGCGCUCUGCAAGCGUCCUCGGCCGAGAGGCUUGGGGAAUCUGUGCACACGCGUCGUGAUGGGGCUAGAAUGUUGGAAUUGUUAUUCUUUAACGAGGAAUGCCU
rnacentral:rRNA from 1 species